GAUGAACGCUAGCUACAGGCUUAACACAUGCAAGUCGAGGGACCGGCACACGGGUGAGUAACACGUAUCCCACCUGCCCUUUACUCGGGGAUAGCCUUUCGAAAGAAAGAUUAAUACCCGAUGUAAAGGAUGGGGAUGCGUUCCAUUAGGUUGUUGGUGAGGUAACGGCUCACCAAGCCUUCGAUGGCUAGGGGUUCUGAGAGGAAGGGACCCCACAAUGGAACUGCGACCCGGUCCAAACUCCUACGGGGGGCAGGAGUGAGUAAUGUUGGGCAAUGGGCGUUAGCCUGAACCAGCCAAGUAGCGUGAAGGAUGAAGGCUUAUGGGUCGUAAACUUCUUUUAUAUAAGAAGAUGUAUUAUAUGAAUAAGGAUCGGCUAACUCCGUGCCAGCAGCCGCGGUAAUAC
rnacentral:rRNA from 1 species